GAUGCAAUUCCCCGAUUCAAGGAGUGGAUCGAGGGGAUCUGUAAGUAGAUACCUUACUCCGAGCACGCAUGGUGCAAACUUUCAAAGGGCAAAUGGGAGGCCCAUUCUCAUGGUCUGCCUAAGACCAUUGAACUUAGGCCACUUGAUGAGGAUGAGGAUCUGUCUUUGCCUACCAAGCCCUCUAUCUCGGGACAGCCCGGGACUACCACGAAGGAGCAAAAGAAGAAAAAGAGUGCGGCCACCCUGGCCUGGAGACCCAAGAAGAAUACCAAGUCCUGGGCACCGAACCCUGGCUAUCUCUACCGACUUAGGGAUAAACCUGAAGAAGACAACAUCUUUAUCGCCCAUGGAUCGACCCCCAAUGGGGAGCAUGCUGAGACCUCCUAGGAAGCCGCUCAUGUUCUGAAGGAGGCGACCUGUGUCAUUGACACCAUAGAGACAUCCUCCUACACCGAGUCCAUGCUCGAAGAGGCCCAAGCAGGCAAAGAAAAGCCAAGUGAGGGAGUGCAGGGUUCAGAUGAUCCCCUCAACCCCUUUUUUGACAGCAUGGACAUGUCCACAUUUGAGGAUUUUCUCGGGCUGGGUCACCUGGAAAUCCCAAAGAAAGGCGUGCCCUCGGGAGCUAGCGAGUUGAGUUCGAGCCCAAAACUGGUGAAGCAAUUUCCCGCACCGAGCGUGGACCCGGGCGUAAGAGAAUAGUAGUUCUUAUAGUUCCGGAGGAUGCUCGGGUUCUAUCUGCUCAUGUGGGUGUAGCCAUCUACCUCUGAUGCCUGGUGACCGAGGAGGACCAAAAAAAGAUGAACGAGGUGGGCACGUGAAGCCUUUUCAAUGAGGCUUAGCAGGAAUUGGCGCCAACACUUUUAUACCCCUUUAUGAAUUCCAAUUAUGUUUUGAUGUCUCUUAGUACUUUCAUUUUUUUACAGGUCUCAGUGCUUCACCAUGAAAGCUUUCUCCGGUACUGCUUGGAAAUCAGCCAACUCGAGUUUAAGCUCAAAGAGAAGGUCCGGAAAAAGGAUAUGUACAGGCUCCUUAGUGAGCAACAAGAUGAGGCCCUUAAAGACCUCCCCAAGGCUUCAGGUCGAGCUGGAAAAAGCUCAUAAUGAGGCUUUUUGAUAAGGUAAAGGUCUUUGAAGCUAAAAAUGAGGAGCUAGUCGUGGUUACUAACAACACAACUAUGUAAGUCAAACAGAAGAUAGACCUGAUCGCCCAGCUGCGGACGUAGAUAGACGAGAUCAAGGCCAUGGCCGAAGUGUGGAAGGGAAGGAUGGACCUACUGGCCUCGGAGAAGGAAACUAUGAAGGAGGAGCUGGCAUCGGUCGAUUACCAACUUCGGGUGGAGAAGGACAAAGCCAACAAGUGGUCUCGGCUGAACGAUAUUCUAUGUGCACAGCUAAGCUCGGCGUCGCGAAAUAGGAUGAUCUUGGAAGAGAACAUGCGGCACUAAGGUCCAAAUUGGACACAACUUCUGCUGAUGCCGAGGAAAUGAUGGCCUAGUAUAAGGCUGAUGUGGAGGCAUCCGAGACCCACAUAAAGACAAAAACUGAAUACAUGAAGCGAUUUUCCCGAAGAGAGACCUUUGAAGAGAUCCAUGCACGAGGUUUCUACCUAUCGGCUGAGAUCGAAGAACCAAAGAGGCUUGAAGCCAAGUCAAAUGAGCUCUACGAGCCUGACUGUGCCGAAGGCUCCGAGGGCUCUGAGGGAUCUGAGGUUUCUUACGGUUCCAACGACGAGUGGGGCCUCGGUGAAGACCAGGCGUAGAUGCCUUAGUACUUUUUCAGCUUUUUGUUUUCCUUAUGUAUUUUCUCUCUAUUUUUUGGUUUAUUUUGAGGUCAUUCAAUCAGGCCUUUGUAAAUAUAUUUUUGGAAUAUAUAUAAGAUUUUUCCCUUUUCGGCAA